GACGAACGCUGGCGGCGUGCCUAACACAUGCAAGUCGAACGAGGUCCAUGCAGUGGCAACACUGCGGAAGACCUAGUGGCGAACGGGUGAGUAACACGUGAGGAACUUGCCCCGGAGACCGGGAUAAGCCCCCGAAAGGGGGUCUAAUACCGGAUGUCCUCACCGAGUCGCAUGGCUUGGUGAGGAAAUGGAUUCCGCUCCGGGAGAGCCUCGCGGCCUAUCAGCUAGUUGGUGGGGUAACGGCCCACCAAGGCGUCGACGGGUAGCUGGUCUGAGAGGACGAUCAGCCACACUGGGACUGAGACACGGCCCAGACUCCUACGGGAGGCAGCAGUGGGGAAUCUUGCGCAAUGGGCGAAAGCCUGACGCAGCAACGCCGCGUGCGGGAUGACGGCCCUCGGGUUGUAAACCGCUUUCAGUGGGGACGAACCAAGACGGUACCCACAGAAG
rnacentral:rRNA from 1 species